AUGAUGGUGUAGGGAGAGACCGUUCCGAAUAGGACGGCGCCGAAGGAGUAAGCCCCGGGGAGGCCCCGGCGGUGAAUCUCUCAGGCAAAAGGACCUCUGCCGGACG
rnacentral:ncRNA from 1 species